GAGUUUGAUCGUGGCUCAGGAUGAACGCUGGCGGCGUGCUUAACACAUGCAAGUCGAGCGAAGCACUUAAGUUGAUUCUUCGGAUGAAGACUUUUGUGACUGAGCGGCGGACGGGUGAGUAACGCGUGGGUAACCUGCCUCAUACAGGGGGAUAACAGUUAGAAAUGACUGCUAAAUACCGCAUAAGACCACAGGGUCGCAUGACCCGGUGGUAAAAACUCCGGUGGUAUGAGAUGGACCCCGCGUCUGAUUA
rnacentral:rRNA from 1 species